GACGAACGCUGGCGGCGUGCUUAACACAUGCAAGUCGAACGGAAAGGCCCUGCUUUUGUGGGGUGCUCGAGUGGCGAACGGGUGAGUAACACGUGAGUAACCUGCCCUUGACUUUGGGAUAACUUCAGGAAACUGGGGCUAAUACCGGAUAGGAGCUCCUGCUGCAUGGUGGGGGUUGGAAAGUUUCGGCGGUUGGGGAUGGACUCGCGGCUUAUCAGCUUGUUGGUGGGGUAGUGGCUUACCAAGGCUUUGACGGGUAGCCGGCCUGAGAGGGUGACCGGCCACAUGGGGACUGAGAUACGGCCCAGACUCGUACGGGAGGCAGCAGGGGGGAAUAUUGCACAAUGGGCGGAAGCCUGAUGCAGAAACGCCGCGUGCGGGAUGACGGCCUUCGGGUUGUAAACCGCUUUCGCCUGUGACGAAGCGUGAGUGACGGUAAUGGGUAAAGAAGCACCGGCUAACUACGUG
rnacentral:rRNA from 1 species